GGAAGUAAAAGUCGUAACAAAGUCUCCGUAGGUGAACCUGCGGAGGGAUCAUUACAGAGUUCUCGCCCUUACGGGUAGAUCUCCCACCCACUGUUAUCGUUACUGUCGUUUCUUUGGCGGGCCGCCGGGUCCCCGGCCGCCGGCGCCUAGCUGCCGGCGCGCGCCCGCCAGAGGCCUUCAAACUCUGAAUGUUAGUGUCGUCUGAGUACUAUAUAAUAGUUAAAACUUUCAACAACGGAUCUCUUGGUUCUG
rnacentral:misc_RNA from 1 species